rnacentral:piRNA from 1 species
AGGGAACUCUACUGGGCAGGUACAU